AUUACUCACAGACCAAAGUAGGAGCUAUUAUUAGCCCAUUUUACAGAAAGGAAAACAGACUCCCUCAAUAAUACUCUGCCUCACAACAAUCAUAUAAAAACCAUCAUAGGUUUUUACGUGAUUGGGAAGGGGAAACUCAGCUCCUACUUUAUGUUCAUGCCAC